rnacentral:tRNA from 1 species
GGGCAAGUGGCGGAAUGGUAGACGCGUCGGUCUCAAAAACCGAUGGGGCUUUCACCCCAUGAGGGUUCAACUCCCUCCUUGCCCACCA